rnacentral:rRNA from 1 species
GACAGAGGGUGCAAACGUUGUUCGGAAUUACUGGCGUAAGCGUGAUGUAGGCGGUCCUCUAAGUCGGAUGUGAAAUCCCUGGGCUCAACCCAGGAAGUGCACUCGAAACUGGAGGCUAGAGUAUCGGAGAGGUUGGUGGAAGUUCUCGGUGUAGAGGUGAAAUUCGUAGAUAUCGAGAGGAACACCGGUGGCGAAGGCGGCCAACUGGACGAAUACUGACGCUGAGACACGAAAGCGUGGGGAGCAAACAGG